rnacentral:rRNA from 1 species
CGUAGGGUGCAGGCGUUAAUCGGAAUUACUGGGCGUAAAGCGUGCGCAGGCGGUCUGCUAAGAGAGAUGUGAAAUCCCCGGGCUUAACCUGGGAACUGCGUUUCUAACUGGCAGGCUUGAGUGUGGCAGAGGGGGGUGGAAUUCCACGUGUAGCAGUGAAAUGCGUAGAGAUGUGGAGGAACACCGAUGGCGAAGGCAGCCCCUGGGCUAACACUGACGCUCAUGCACGAAAGCGUGGGGAGCAAACAGGAUUAGAUACCCUGGUAGUCCACGCCCUAAACUAUGUCAACUGGUUGUCGGGGAAGCAAUUCCUUGGUAACGAAGCUAACGCGUGAAGUUGACCGCCUGGGGAGUACGGCCGCGAGGUUA